CUUCAAUACCCUUUACAUAUACAAGGUUGUGAGCUUAUUGAUGGUGUCUUUGGAACUGUUGGCUCCAAACUUUUUUGGACCUAUAACCUUGAAGGGGAAAAAAAAUUCCAAGCAGAUAAUUGAAGGUAUAGAUGAGGGGAAAAAGGUGAUCAGAUUCAAAGAAUUUGAAGGAGAUUUAGUGGAUAAAUAUGAUAACUGGAAAGCAACUCUUCAUAUGGAGCAAAAAGGUGAAAUCGAUUUGGUAUGCUGGAGAAUGGAGUAUGAAAGGCCAAAUGAGAAUGCUCCUGAACUAAUAAAUUUGCUGGACUUCAUUGUUGGUAUGACCAAAGCUAUUGAUGAUCACCAUGUUAAGAUGAAUUAAAGGGAUAUAUGUGUGUGUGCUUGAAAUACCUCAUGUUGUGUUGUUUCAGCAGAUGGUAUGAAAUAAAUCCAUGUGAUGUUUAAGUUCUUUUUGGUUUUUACUUUAGGGAUUGAUGGUCGUUUUGUCUUCCCAUGUAAACGAUAAUUUAGCAGUUAUCUUUGUGUUGUCAGUUGUGUAAUAAGACGUGUGUGGAAUUUAUA